rnacentral:misc_RNA from 1 species
AAACGCCGUAUACGUGAUCCGUAUGUACGGUGUUGUGAGAGGGGCGAAAAUAAUUCGUUAUUUUCCCUCUACUCGAU